UGCAGGGUAGAGUAAUGGUAACUCGCAGGUCUCAUAAUCCUGAAAGUGUGGGUUCAAAUCCCGCCCCUGCAA
rnacentral:tRNA from 1 species